UACGGGGGGUGCAAGCGUUAUCCGGAUUCACUGGGUUUAAAGGGUGCGUAGGUGGGUCUGUAAGUCCGUGGUGAAAUCUCCGAGCUUAACUUGGAAACUGCCAUGGAUACUAUAGGUCUUGAAUACUGUGGAGGUCAGCGGAAUAUGUCAUGUAGCGGUGAAAUGCUUAGAUAUGACAUAGAACACCAAUUGCGAAGGCAGCUGGCUACACAAAUAUUGACACUGAGGCACGAAAGCGUGGGGAUCAAACAGG
rnacentral:rRNA from 1 species